rnacentral:snoRNA from 1 species
UUCACUUUGCCACACUCUGGACCUCGCCCAUUUUCCUGUGGCCUUGUCCAAUUUUAAGUGCAAAGAAGACUAAACUUCUUGUCCUACUACUCACCGGCAUGUCUCCUUUCUUUUCAAGGGAAGCGUGGGCAUAUCGGUCCAUGUUUAAGGUCUACAU